rnacentral:rRNA from 1 species
GACGAACGCUGGCGGCGUGCUUAACACAUGCAAGUCGAACGGUAAGGCCCUUCGGGGUACACGAGUGGCGGACGGGUGAGUAACACGUGGGUGAUCUGCCCUGCACUUCGGGAUAAGCCUGGGAAACUGGGUCUAAUACCGGAUAGGACCACUGCCUGCAUGGGUGGUGGUGGAAAGCUCUUGCGGUGUGGGAUGGGCCCGCGGCCUAUCAGCUUGUUGGUGGGGUGAUGGCCUACCAAGGCGACGACGGGUAGCCGGCCUGAGAGGGUGACCGGCCACGCUGGGGCUGAGAUACGGCCCAGACUCCUACGGGAGGCAGCAGAGGGGAAUAUUGCACAAUGGGCGCAAGCCUGAUGCAGCGACGCCGCGUGAGGGAUGACGGCCUUCGGGUUGUAAACCUCUUGCAGCACCGACGAAGCGCGAGUGACGGUAGGUGCAGAAGAAGGACCGGCCAACUACGUGCCAGCCGCCGCGGUAA